ACGACAUAUUUUUACUAUGAUAUACAGUACAUUAAUAUAAUAUAAUAUAAUAUAAUAUAAUAUAUUAAUAUAAUAUAAUAUAAUAUAAUAUAAUAUACAUUUAUACUAUAAGUCUAUACUGACCCUUGCGAGAUUGGGCCGCCUGUGCUCACGCAUAUAUACCUAGUGCAUUAGCGGCUUUUCUGUUGGCUACGAGGUGCGUUCAAUCUCGAACCUACCUGCUGAUGUAUGUUUAGGAGGGGUUCGAGAUCGAUGUUUUGGCGGCGGCCAAAAAAAUAAUAAUAAUAUGAAAUAAUAAUAAUAAUAUAAUAAUAUGAAGCGAUUUGAACAAAAAUAAAAAAUAAAUCAACUGUUUUUAAUUGUUUUAUAAAUAUUAUUUUUUUGUUUCAUGAAAAUGGAAUAUUAAUUCCGUAUUCAAAGUGGAAGAGAAAGAUGGCCGCCGAAAUUUGUUCGGCACGG